AAGGUCGACUCUUCCACAAGUCAAGUCGGACCACAAAAUAACAGAAAACAAGCACUCGUCUCGCGUCCGGCAUAAGCGAGAGGUUAAUAAGAACACCACCGAGUACCUCUGUUUGGACGCUCAGUCAAGACAACAGCAAGAACUACGCCUCCAUUUCCACACACCUACGGCGGCGCAAGGAACGAAGAUGCGGACCGGAACUUGUCAGCAUCACACGUUAACAAGUCUACAAGAGAGAGAUGGAACGUCAACCCAACGUGCUGGUGAGUCACAUUUAAGACUUGAUAAUUUUGCAUUUAAACAGUGUCUGAAACACAGAGUAGUUCACAUCCUUCUUAAGCUCUCUUCUUUCUCCGAGUACCUUAUGUAAGCAUGUGCACUUUUUGGGUGACUGGUGCGCAAGCCUUAAUAAAUAGGCAUCCAUAGCAAAAAAUAUUAUUGUUGUUAUACUUGCUGGGUCGGUUCGACACUGACAUGAGGAACUUUGAUGUCUCAAUGGUGACAGUAGUAUGUUCUGCAUGUCAAAACAUUAGAGUAUAAUUACAUGUGACUAUAUCAUGGCAUCGUGUUCAGAGCACAAUCCGAUAGAACUUAAGGUUCCCGUUUCAUGUCCCGCGUAAGGCUUUUGAAUUUAAUGCAUUUUACAAUGAGAAAGUUAGAAUUCUUUAAAAAAAAAAACAAUGAACAAUUGGUUGAUACCAUUGGUUUUGAACAAUAAAACGUAUGAAUACUUCACCUGUCUGAUGCUGCCGGACGAAGGAUCCUCUCUGCGUGGCUUAAGGAGGAGUGGGUGGGGUCCGGGUGCGGGCUUCUGAGCGCUGUGAUGCAUAUCGGGAGAACGUUUUGCACACUCAAACAAAGGUCCCCACUGAUAUCAAAAUAUAUUUGGGUGGAACUGAGAAUGUCACUAAAAUUUUAAGAAUGAAGGUGAAAAUAUAUAAAUAAUGGUCAUGAAAAGAAGAAGAGUGAUGCUGAGGCUGGGGCACCACUAUCUGCGCACUUCUGUUCUUUAUGUAAGAGCCACUGGGUAAGAGAACUAGACGUGCAUGACACCUUUGUUAAUCAUUUACAACAAGUUUUGAUCAACCGUUACGGAAUCCACACCAAUGGCGUUACAACUCUUGGCAUUUCAGCCGCCUCUGUGGCUUAUUUUACAAAUAAAAUCUGGAUGAGAGAUCGACCGAACAAUAAUACAUUACAGGCAAAAUACCAUUUUCUAAAGUUCAACUUGUUCUAAAAGAAGGGCAUUACAGCAACAUUUAAGAGUUGUGACUCAACGAUACGUCAGUAGCGACCUUCAACGGCGCUCUUGAAUAAACAGUUUUAUUUCAUUUGGAUUUUAAAAAGUGUGUAAUUUUCUCUAGUGCAUUUUUUUAAUCACUUUAAGAAUGCAUGUUUCCUUGAAUUUUUUUAAUUCUGUUUUGGUGCUUUUGGUUUCCACUGUGCAAGUAUGACUUUCCCCUCUGACGGACGGCGAACAGCUCAACUCCAGUCAGAACCAAACCAAGACGUGGGGUCUCUGGUACAAGCAUGCGUUUAAAUUCCAGAGGUGAAAACUUAAACUCAUCAAGCCCCAAGAAGGAUCUUCUAUGUUGAAUAGAAUUCAUUUGAAAAUAAAACUUAUACCCACUGGUAACUAUCCGCCACUACUAUCAGAGAAUCACAUUUUAGUAUAUUUUUUCCAGGGCCCAAAACCAGCACUGUAAUUAAACAUGGAAAUAUAUCAGAGUCUGUACAUGGGUCCUUUUAAACUGAAGUUACAAAAGUGAAUGCAGGUUUUGAACUAAAUGUGCCAUCAAAUGUUGGGUUUCUUCUAUUUUGUCAUUUUAAUUUUGAAAAAAAAAAACAGAGUGAGAGACACUUUGUCAUCGCACAGCUGAAUCAUCCGUUUUACUUCCACUCCCUCUGUCUCUAUGCGCAAAGCCAUAAACAGUUAAAGAUAAUUAUAAUGUACUGACAAGAUGUUGAGUGGUUCAAACAAUAUUACUGUGCAAAACUUGACAUUUAUAUUGUUGAGUUUUAUAUUACAGGGAGGGUACUUACUUACAAUUUAUCGUGAAGAUGAAGUGUGAGAACAUUUACAUAUUCUAUUUUUAACCCUGUAUUUAAGUGUUCUUUGUACAGUAUAAUUAUAUCUUAGAACAUCUUCAGUACAUUGUUCAUCAAAAACAUUUUAUUUCAUUGUGCGUCAGCACUUGCCUUAGUAGUUAUCUCAAUAUUAUUCAUCAGAUAAUAAUUUUUGACUGCAAGAGUACAGUUGUACAGUACUGUACUGUAUAUUGGACCUAAUGUGUCAAAAUAACUAAGAAAUAAAUUCAUUAGAAUUUAUUGCACUUAAAUGUCAAUUUGAUGUGAAGGAUGCUUAAAUUGUCAACUAAUUAUUGUUCGAUGAAAAAUUGAACAUAUAAACAAACAAUAAUAGAAAAAUAAAGGAUUGCAGUUUUUCUGGAGGAUGGUAUUUGGCUGUGUGCAUAUUGUGUUUUCACUCUGAACACUGUCUACGCCUGUGAACCACCUGUCCAAUGCUGCAACUAAAAUCUAUCUAAAUUAAGUAGAAGUCAACUUUAAUUUAUAGAGCUGAGACAUUUUUUCUCCUAAAGCACAGCAGUCGACAGCUAUGUAUAGACCUUGAAUGGGCACGUGAUCUCGAAAUGCAUUGUGGGAGGAGGCCGCCAUUUUUAUAUAUUGUUUACAUCCAUGAUUUGCUCUCUCCCGCUCUUUCGGCACACAACCACAGCUUUCACUCUCUAAAAAUCUUGACAUUUAUUUGAAAUCGCACUAUUUAUUUGAAAAUCCUUCAGCCCUUUCACCCUCCCAGGUAUGGAGUUUGUGCAAGAAGGCUUGAUGUAAAUGUCAGCAUUGGUGAAUAUUAAAUUAGCUGACAGCAAGUGUUGUUUCAGAUAUUUGGUUGAGGUUUACUAGCUGGUACAUAAUACAUAGUACGUUUAAAGCAACAUUUGAGUCGCACAAAAACCAAAAUAAUCUGGCGGCAUUGAUCAACGUAACACUCACACGCACACACACAGACACACACACCGUCCUGCCCACACACACUCCCACGUGUUUCCCCAGCCUCUGCAGCCGUCUUCAGAUGACAUCAUUAGAAUGCUGCUCCAGCACUAGUGUGGGUGCUGUGUGUGUGUGUGUGUGUGUGUGUGUGUGUGAUUUUUUUGUUUAUGCGUGGGUGAGGGGGGAAUGAGAGCCAAAGCACUGGAGCCGCUUGCCCACGCUGGCUGCUCGUAUUUGAGUGUGUGAGUGAGAGUGUGUGUCACCCGGGGCUCCGUUCCCGGGCUGCCUCCCACGCUGGGGUACAGCUGGGGUUGAGUCGGAGGAGUGAGUGAGUGGGCCGCUGUUGUGAGACAGUGUCAAACCCCCAGAAAAUACAUCGCCCAGCCACAAAUACCAUUUGAUUCUGUGCUCUCUCUGCUGCGUUUCCAGAUUCACUGCGUUUAGACUUGUCUUACAUGUCAGGUUGAUGCUCUGUUCACAUGUAAUUUCAAAGAUAACUCAUUUAAUCAGAUGAUUUCAAAUGUAAUGUUGGUAGUUCAAUGCAUAUAAUUUUUAUUCUUAUACAUUUAUUAUUAUGAAUUAUUGUAUAAUUAUAGUUAAUUAUAAUAUAAUUAUAAUUAUUGUAUGAUUUCACCCCCUGUUUUGCUUUAAGAUCCAUGGUUAUGUUAAGUUUUCCCCACUGAUGGCAGUGCACUCUUCAAGGCUGGAAUUAUCUUGACUUUAAACCCUAAUUUCCAGAUUUUUUUUUUCCUCCUCUGUCAUCGCUAUUGUCAGCAGUUGCGUUUAUGAAGAGUACUACCUACUUUUUUACAUUUUUAGAUUUUACUUGACAUUUUGGUGCUGGGAUUGUAUAUUUUUAUUUUUAUAUUUAAUUUUCCUCUUUUAAAUGCUUAAAAUUUGUGAAUCACAUUUUGGAAAUGACGUGUUUAUUUACACUUUCAAUCGCGACCACGUUUACCGUCACCUGACAGCCGCAUGGUUGGCCGACUACAAAAGUCUGAAUGAGCGACGGCAGUUCUCACGAGCGGUUAUAAUAUAAUUUGGAGCACCAGUUACUGUCGAGACUUCAUUUGUUUCAGCGAUGCCACAGAUGGCUGUUUCAGUCUGACCGCCAUCUGCUGGAACCAUUCGCUCUCACACUCUUCGCUGAGGAAGCUGAGAAAACAGAACCCCUGGGUUGUGUGCCCGCCUUAUCCACCGCAAUCAGAUCGCACUUGCAUCAUCAUCAUGAGUGAUAAUGAACCGUCGCGUUGCAUUAUUAAAAUAUGGGCUGAUGAAGUCUCAUCUCGCUCCGGAGCUAAAAAUGCAAUCUGAUUUUCUUUUGUUUAGUUACACAUGACCUGACCUCCUCAUGUAGACAAAUGCGUUGAUCUUGGUUUAGUUGACCUCUUUAGUCCAAUCGUGUUACAGACGAUUUUUGCAUUUGAUGUUAUCGGUAGAGGAAGUACUGUAGAACAUUCUCUGGCCUCUGUUCGGGGGAAGGGCCGCGAGCAGGGCAAGAAAGUGGAAGCGGAAAGUAAACCGUACGAUAGUAGGGGUGUGACUAUGUCGUAACAUUUCUGUGGGCUUCAGACUGUGAGCAUUUCAAACAUCUAUUAGUCCAGGGAUGAGGAUGCCUAGAAGGUGUCCCAGUGGACCACAGUUUGAAGGUGGCACAGAUAAUGGAGCAGCAGGACGGUUAAAUCGGCAGAGGCCAAACUGGAAUGUUUCACAAGAAGCACCUCUCUGUACAUAGUAGCAUGGGGAUGAGUACAUCUGCUGUUAGCGCUGCUGCGGCUCAGACAGCAGUCAGUGCCAGCGCUCAUGUGUGACACAGUCGUCCUCAGACACACUCCUUACUAUACACACGCAGCAGUGUGAACCCUCACCGCGUUGGCAGGCCCUAUAUGCUGGGAUGGAGCCAACCAGCAUCGCCGACAAGGGCUCUACAUAGACCAUGUUGUUGAAGCAGGCGAGAGAGAUCGUAGCUGCCUUUCCGCCAACUCCCCAGAGGGGAAGAGGAGGAUGGAGAGGAAGAUGGGUUUUUUUCACUGUACACAACAGCGAAAGUCUUCCUACAAUUUCGUAUCAGGGAUCGAAAAAGAGCCAAGGUCUUGUCAAAGAUCCCCCUUUUUAAUGCUUUUUUUUUGUCAACUUGAGAUCGUUCUCGUGUAAGUUCAUUUUAAUGAAGUAUGUUAGAUACAUUAUAUUACAUUAUAUUAGUAUAUUAGAUACAUGAGAGGUAAGUACUUGACGGACACUAUAUGAAUGAAUUAAAAGCACUAUUGUUACACUUCUCUGUCUGUACAUGUGGUUGUUGAAUGUCUAACUCUUUGCACCUCUAUGGGUUUUGAUAGGUUUCCACUUUAGAGUCUUCGGACUGAGUGCUCAGCUUAGCUGUGAAGAGAACGCAUGCGUCUGCCUUUAUUUUAAGGGAACUCCUCUUUCAUUUCACUUGUUUCUUUCGGCCUUCAUUGACUUUGGGUGAUGUAGUCCUGACCAUUGGUUAGGAAUUUCAGAUCAUUUAUGCUCUCCUUUUUAUAUAUUUCUUUAUCUCUUGUUCCUACAUGUGGGCUAUUUGUCCUUUAUUGUAUUUAUUUCAUCAUUUUGUGUAUGUUUAACUUCUUAUUGUGGCAAUCUUUUCCUUCAUCCCGGUCAUAUCCUCUCUUUGUUUUUGCAUUUUCUCUCUAACAUUGUUUAAGGAUAACAUGAAAAUCCAAACUGGCGGAUCUGGAUUCCUCUUUGUGAUUCUGGAUGCCUGACAGUCGCGGCUUCCCCCUUGUGUCACAAAAAGGGCAGGGUUAUCACAGGGCAACACACACACAAACAAACAAACAGAAUGGAGAACAAGAGCGCCGGCAGAGAUAAGACAGAGUCAUGCCUCUGCUGCGUGACCAUUAAAUCACAGUUGCGUCAGUGUUGUCGCAGUCACACUGGCCUGGAAACACACCGGCUCUAUAUCUGCUGGCCCCUGCGGGGCUCCAGACGUGAUCACCUUAGUUUAUUCUAAUGUGUGUCAGAUGUACUGUAGAUAUAACUGAAGCUUUAGAGAUACACACUAUAGAGGAGUAGAGGUGGGAAAUGUAGGGACAACAGGGAAGGCAGGAAGAUGGGAAGUUUAAAGAAAGGUGGAGGAGGGUUGGUCAAGGACAGGGAUUUGUGAAUACUGUGGGGAAAGGAGGGAAGAAGUAUGCAUGUAGCAAGGUUGACCUGAUGGAGCUUUAAUUGAGUCAGAGCUGGAAGAGCUUCAAAUAACAUAGGAUCUUGAAAGUCUCUUGAAACAAGCCGGUAGGGGUCUGUCAAGUUGAAUAAUGCUACCUGGUUGUCCUGGCAGUCUCACUUAGGAUGCUGCAUCGGCAGCUGUGGAGGUGGAGGAGUUGACUCUCUGAUGAGUUUCGUUUGCUCCAGUCUAGACAUUGACAUCACACCUGAUGACACUCACAAACUUAAACCAAUACAUUUCUUCAGUCCACAGUUUGAUCUUUUUUUUUUCAUGAUUGUCAAUACUGUUAGUUACAUCACCUAACAUUGAGUUUUUAUGUGCAGACAGCAUCUUUGACUGUAAAAUUGUCUUCAUUCUCCUUGACAGAAAAGUGAAUAGUUUCAUCCAAUUUAACCAGAUAUAAUUAAUCUCCAACUUCACCUUUAAUUUAGUGGUUGUGAAAAAGAUGCUGCUGUCUGUCUCUGUCAUUUCUUAAGCCACUUUAUUUUAUCUGUGUGUGUGUGUGUGUGUCACCGACUACUCCGGUCAGCCAUUAAAGUACUUCUCAAGCCGACCCAGCAGAAAUCCCAAGCCGCUGGACUGCCUGAGUUCACACCUUUUAGUCCACAGGAAUCUCAGGAAUUCUUUCUCUCCACGGCAAAAUCCAUUGUGUGUGUGUGUGUGUGUGUGUGUGUGUGUAGGAAGGGCAACAGCAUGAAGGAAAGGCUGUGAGUGUGUGUUGAAAUACACCUCCGCCCUGAUAUCCAUCCAGAACAAGGCGGGCGGGUGGUGCUGCCUUCGCGGCCACAAUGGCCUGAGUCACACUAAAAUGACAAACUGCUCCGUUAUUGUGAAACACUUUUUUUUUCUUUUCCGUAAAACAAAAACUUUAUCUAAUGUGAGAUCAAAGUUCUCUUGGAUAAUCAAGGGUUGAGUUAAAAAAAAUGCCUCUCCAAUAAACAGGAGUGAAUUUUUUUUUAAACUUAACCUUCAUGUGUCACUUCAUUGAAAGGCAGCAAGAGUUUUGCUCAUGGUUUGACAGUAAUUGUACAUCUGCAGGCUGAAACAGCAGACGGAACUGUGUGCUGGUGCAGGACUCCUGCAGGUUAAUGCUGCCGUCUCUUGGCAGCGCUGGAGUCCGCGAGCCGCCCGUGUUCUGAUUCAACGCCAGUCAGAGUUUUGAUUGCUGCCGUGGCUCAGUGGCACUCAGUGAGCACAAUGAGAAACACACAGACACCCUUUCACUAACACACGACAGGCAGUGAUUCAUAUACACACACACAAACCACAGAGGCAGGUUUAUGCAGCGGUGGAUGUUGAUGUCGCCGCUGCAGUCUGGCUUCUAAUUGACUUCUUUUCAGAAUGUCAUCCUUCACUUAACAUGUGGCUGAAAAUUGAAGGUUCAUUUCUAUACAUUUUUAGCUCUUCACCAAGCCAGACAACCUCCUGCAGCCAUUGUUCUGGUCAAGCUAUGAUGUCUCACAGUCAUGGAGGAAUCAAAUUGGUGAUGUUCCAAGCUAGUCAAAAGUAUUUGAACCAAAAUUGUUCUCUAACAACCAAAUGUCACUUUUUUCUAAUUUUAUUGAGUUUGGAAGCUAACUAUAUGUAAAUACUGUUUGAGCUGCUGUAAGCAUCACAUAGUCAGAAAUGAUGGAGGCAUAAUGACUAUUCACCUGUUAAUAAGCAAACAUUGUUUUUCCCUGAGUAAGACCCACAGUAUUUUUAUUCUUAUUUAAUGAGCAAAUGUUUAUUUUGUCCUUCGAGUUAAUUACACUUGUCACUGUGUAUUUUGUCUGCUCUACUGUGGUAAAAAAAACUGUAAUGACCAGUCAAUACAACAUUUAUUAACAAAAAAUAAACAAUAAGACAUCUUUAUUGUGAUUUAGUUUGAAAGUGAGUAACAACAUUUAAUGUAUUGGUUUGUUUUUUUUAAAUAGCUUUUCAUGAAGAUCUAGUUAAAUAAAUGAAUAUUAAUAUCUAUAUUUGAAUGUAUUUGCUGUAACUUUUAGGCAAUUAUCCAAUAUUUUCUUUCCCUUUUAUUUUAAAUGGCAUUAUUAACAAAGUUAAUAAUCGAACUGCGUUUUAUUAUAGAAUAACAUCAGUGGCUGCCGCUUUAGCUUUGAUGAGAGAAUUCAACUUUGGCAUCUUAAACUUUUAAACUCUUGCUGCCGUUGAGUCAUCAGAAAACAGUGACUUGGGUAGUUGGAGACAUUUCUUCAUCCAGGUCAAAUUUCAUUUAAAGUUGCUGGCUCCAUGACUCAAAGCGGAUAUUUAAAAGUCAUGAAUGGAGCCUGACAAAAGUGGGUCUCCACCUCACAUCAUGUGCGCGCGUGUGUGUGUGUGUGUGUGUAACAGGAGUGGGGCAUGGGUGCAGCGUGGCCUUUGAUGAGUCACAUGGCCUCAGUGAGUAACAGGCCAGCAAUGCAAUUCAUGGAGUUUGCGACUGCCAUUCAAAAAAAAAAAAAACUCCAGCCCACCCUGACUCGCCCCUGCCGCACCAGCAGGAGGAAGGAGGUGGGGAAGGGUGGGGUGUGACCUACAGUUGGAAGGUGUGGUUGGUGCUUUCGCAGAGGCAGAGAAUAGCAGGCGACUAAAAUAGCAGGAUGUCAAUGGUAACGCGGGAAGCUGGUCCAGUCCUGGGUGGUGAAGUCAUGAGGCGGUCGUGUUCAGGUCAGGAUAGACAAGUGACUUCACGUGGCUCACAUGACGGUGGUUUGAUGCUAAAACAGAAGUGAUAUUUUAAUGAAAAUGACUUCUUAUGAUGCCCAGCUGUCAAGACAAGACAGCAUGACGAGAAUGGAACGGACUGGAAAGUAAACCGAGUAUAAUACACACUUUGAAACUUGCUUCUAAAUCUAAGUUCAAGCUUGAUUUAUCGCAAUUUUUUCAGUUUUCAAAAUGCCAAUUCUGGAUUCUUAUGUAACAUAAACCAUAGAAACUCCAAUUUAUUUAAACAGACAUCAGAAAAACAACAUAGCAAAUCAAAUUUAAAAUUAUAGUAAUCAUCCAUAAAGCACAACUCAAAACAUUUGAAAAAAAAAACAGUGCAAGCCUUAGCAAUAAAUUCAAUAAAAUAAUCUUAUCAUUAAGAACAAAUUGUCCAUGAUUAUUAAUUGAGAUGGUUAAUCAGCCAGCCCUACAUUUAAGGUUUUCGAUGUCCCCAUAUAUUAUUGUGUUCUGAUGGGUCAAGAAGGUACCAGUACCAGUCCCAAACAUCCCUUUCAACUUGCACCAGCUCUGACUGAAUCACAUGAGAUCUCUCUUGAGACUUCAGAAUCAUCGGAGGGACGAUACCAGACUCGUCUGCUGGACGAGCUCGAUCCCCUUAGAUAAGUUCAGGCUUUACUCUCAAUCUGGGUCAAGGACUCGUUCGAAGGAAGAGCCACAGUGCAAACCCUUUCCUGGUCCUUCACCCUUCAUCUUGGUCCAUCAAGUCUGUGAAAUCCCAUUCAGCCGAACCUCCACCCACAACAGCCCUUCAGUUUCAAUGUUGAUCUUCAAGAGUGCAAACAGGGACGAAAAGAAACAUUACGGACAUAGAAAAACCUGACUUGCUGAGCCUCUCUCUCCUAAUUCUCUUGCUACUAAGCGGCAGAAACAAAGCAGGUCAUUCUUGUAUGGAAGGGUCGCUCAGUGUCUCCAGUAGAUAAUGAGUGUUUGAGCAAGUUUUUCCCAAACCAACUGACAAGCGUGCUCAUGCAGGUUUGUAGUACUGGUAAUGUCUGCCGUAUUCAAAUACACUGACAUUUCUGUUCCUGCGCCAUCAACGUGCUGUUAAUGUCUGACACACCUGCAGGACAAAAAUGAUCAUGUUUAAAAACAAAAGACAGCUGGCAUCUUUUUUUAUGUAGAUGGUGCUACAGGCGGAAAAAAAGACCUUUUGAAUAGUAACUGCUUCAUAUGUUGUCAGUCUUUCUGGAGUGUGCUAGUGGGUCUAUGAAGAAAGUGGAUGCCAUGUUUGUUAUGUUGCAGUAGAUGGCACAGCACCCUCUACUGGCCCCAUGAGUCCGUAAAAGUUGUUCUCCUGAGUAUUUGUGUGUAACUUGUGUAUGUAGACAUUUAGGCAUCAUAUGUGACUUGUUGGUUAGAAAUCUCUCGGGGUAAUUUUUAUCUCCAUUCCCUUAUCAGGAGUCAGGUCAUUUUCUACUCUUAAAGGGGGCGUUUCCUGCUUCUGAAGACCCCCAUCACAUACACACAGACGCUACCCUCAGCUUUUCCUUCCUACUCCUCCGUCUUCCCUCUUCUCUUUUUUUCCUCAAUGGAUGUGUCCUCUUUUUAACCUCAAUGAAACUGUGUAACAGGAGACUGCCCUCGCCGCGAAGCUCAGCCCCCUCUUUAAAAGACGCAGUAUAAGAGAAGUGGAGUGUACCGCCGUUCAGAAGUGCAUGUGUGUUUCAACGAGAAUGUCUGACAGUCUUAGUCGGAGAUGGGAGGAUGAGGGGAGAAAAAGGGAGAGUGAAAAUAGCAGAGAGGAGAACAGCACGACUUGGUGGGGGCUUGUAGGGAGUUUAACAGCUGUAGUGUCUCCAGAGCUCUGGGAAAGCACCUUUAGCCCAGAGGGAGCCUCACGCACACUAUCUGUGUGUGUGUGUGAGUGUGUGUGAGUGUGUGUGUGUGUGUGUGUGUGUGUGUGUGUGUGUGUGUGUGUGUGAGAGAGAGAGAGAGAGAGCGAGGAGAGAGAGAGAAUGUGUGUGAGCGUGUGAGCCGGGCUAUGUAGUUUAAGCCUGUUACUGAUUACACUCAGAAGAAUGCAACAGGAGGACGAGAGAGGGAGAGGAGAUGAGAAGACAUGUAAGGACGCUGCAAGUUUUUUGUGUCCAAACAUCUGUGGACAAGUUGGAGAUCUGAAAAGGCUCCUUCUGGAUGGACUUUGAAACAAGGACGCCUGAAGAAUCUUUCAGAGGCUAAGAAUGGGGGGUUCCCUUAUUCUAAAGCGACCGGGAGGAAAUCAGACGGGUAAGUGAAAAAAAGAAACAGGGGGUGGAGGGGGGAUGUUGGUGGAGCGGCUGCUGUUGAUGGGUAUCAUAUGUUACAAGUUAGGAAACUGCUCCCAGAUCCUUAAUAGGCUGAGGAACACACAGAGGAGCGGCACAGGAGGGUCCGCUUCUUUUUUUUUAACUUGCUUUAUAAAAGUCAGAUGAUCACGGUUAAGUCGGGAUUGUUAAGUGACAGUUCCAGAUUCUUUUGAAAGGGGCUCGCUGUUACAUAGCUCUGACGCGAGUCCCACAGCUCGGAGCUGAAAUGGAUCAUGUCAAGUGAAUUUUCUAGUUACUUCCUCUCCAUUUCAUUCACGCCGUCUCGCAGCCUACCCCCUUCACAUUCGACACAGAUAGCACAGUCCACCCAUUCUUCCGCAGCAGAAGGGCAUGAAUGAAGUGUAUGGUGGGGCGGGGAGGCGGGUGGGGGGGCACAAUAUCAUACGCCUCGGACAGUCGUGGUGUGGCUUCUUUAUGAAUGGGCAUGACAGGCUUCAGACGCGAUUGGCUGGGAGAGGAUGACGAGGGCUGCGUGCUGAGCCGCGAUUCGACGCUUCGAUUCAGUGUGUCUUUUGCCACGGUCUCAUGGUUACCAGCUUUUAAGCCACAUCUGUAUUUUGUUUCCGAUGCAGAGUAAUAAGGUGGUGCCAUUCAUACUACAAGCUUAGAUCAGAUUUGCCUGUCUAGCUCCGCACAUUUGUUGGGCUUCAGACAGUCCUCCUGUCAUGACUAAGACAAUUACCGACACGUUAGGAAUUCUCCUGCGUUGACUCACGAUCCGUAAACCGUUUUCUUGUGUAAUGAUAGGAAGCAAGUUUUAUCGUGAACGACUUUCUCCUCGAGGAGUUCCAGCUGCUGACCGUUUAUGUCACAGUGUGAAUCAUCGCAGAUGUGUCAUGCAGGGCUCGAUUAAAACCUGGACGCUCGGCUGAAUUUACUCACUUCAGACAUACGAUACAUGAAGAUGAAUUCCUGUUGCAUCAAACAGUUUCCCUAGAAGUUUGUGAUUAAAAAAAAUAAGUGUUACAUGACGUAUUUAGGAGGAGUUUUAUAACACUCAACAUGUGCAUGUGUUUGUCGAAUCCUCCAUGAAGUACCCUCAUUUGUUUUGAAAAUACCUCUUCAUCGUGCACUUUACAAAAAUAAAAAGCUGUGUGAUGGUAGUCUAAUCUGAGUUCACUUCAUAUGUGCGUUUGAAAAUGAACUGUAAUGUGAAUGGGUUAUGCGUCAAAACUUGAGCAGAAUAAUUGUUUCGCGACAGUCCAAUCAUCUCCACCUGCUCCAGCUCACACACCCAGUUCUUCGUUCUACUCCGAUCCUUUUAUGAAGCCGAGAACCCCGACUGGUCCAACGUCGAUUUUACGACACAAGGAAGUGCGUGGACCUGUGUGUGGUGUGUGUGUGUGUGUGUGCGUACGUUUGAUCCAGGAGAUAGUUUAUUGUUUGAUCGAAGAAUAGCGAAAGGGGCGAUAAGGUGUUAAGUGACACUUCCGGCGUGAUAGCAGGGAAAUUUGUCGGCGAGAUGCAUCACAGGAAUCUUGAUGGGGGAGAUUAGCAUGGAAUCUGCCCUCUGUCUUAUCAGCCUGCCUACAGAAUGAACCCUGCCCUGUCCUGUCCCACUUGGCAGGGAGCCACCGAGCAGGCCGGCUCUGAUCCCGCAGCCAAGGGAAAAAAAAAAGUUCCAGAGCAAACGGAACAUGUGUGAAAAGUCGCAGUUAAUGAUCAUGUUUCAGACUUCAGUUCUUCCGGAAACGUGACGGACACCCUCGUGGUCUUGAAUCAUCCGGGUUCCAAAGACUUUUAUUCAAGGCUUUAUCGCCUCUUUUUCUCCUGUGUCAAAUCAAAAUCCACAAGAUUUUUAUGAUUUUUCACAUCAGGUGAUACCAAAGACUUAAAUAUCUGCUCUCACGCAGUCACUCCAUUCCGCCUUCAUGAAGUAAAAUCGGAAUAAGUAGUGUUUAAAGAAAAACACAAUGGACAGAACUGUUUUGACGCAAAGAAGAAACGGACCGUUUAAACUUGUUAGAAACAAUAACUGGACUUCUCUUCCUGAUGAGAUAAGUUCAGGAUUGUGAGGAAUGUGUGAAAGCAGCCCAAGAAUGUGUGAUGGUGGUUAAGCAGAGCGCAAGUAGCUCAUUAGCAUCUGCACUGCUCGCUUUUCUCAUGUCUCAUUUUGCCAUGGAGCGAUCACAAUGUGGAAACCAUCGUCAUCCGCAGCUCAUGGAGCAUGAACACGCGCAGCCACGUUGGCGUCACACGGCGCUUUAACACGACACUUACAUAACCUAAAGUGAGUUAAAGCGACGUGAUGACAAUCUUAACCAUGGCUCGACUCCUUCUUUUGUUUUCCUAACUUUCCUUUUUUCGCAUGACUCGUCUCUGUUUAUACAGCAACAAGUCAUUCACCGGAGUCUUUCAUUCACAGGCGGGUUGACUUAAAAGCUUAGUGCUGGAACUGAGACGUCACUGGGCCGUCCGGGUUUGUGUGCACACACAACAGAAUAAGUCGGUUAGUGUUUGAGUGGCUGUGUGCGUCGGCCAGACGUGUUUUUGUGUACUCAAGAACUCACUUCAAGCCUGUUUCAAUGAUGUACUAACGAAACACACCUGGCUCACUUCCUCCUUUGCUCAUAUAUGGGCAAAGCUUCCCCUACCUGGGCCCCUCUGUGAAUACCAAUAGGUAGCAGUGUGUGUGUGUGUGAGAACAAGGAAGACGCUGUAGAGACGGAUGCACGUCAUGGAAAACCAGGAUCAAUGGGCAAGGCCCGUAGAGCGGCGUUCUAAGGUGUUGCUUUUGUUUUCCUUAGGUAAUCAGUUAACACAAUGACUCAGCCUGGCUGCUUAUUCUGCAUCGAGGAGGAUCUGUGACCUCAGUUACUGUGUAACACCACAGCCUGUGGAAAACUCUUUUGAACAUGGAAUGAUUGUCGUUAUUGAAAAUAGAUUGUGGAUGAAAUGAAUAAGAGGUUCAAUCUAGAUGCUCAUGCCAGCAAGGACAGUUUUGCAGGUAUUCAUUACAGUCGAUCAGCCGUCUGAUCCACCCACCCUUUGAUGCAAAUAUAUUUUACCUUGGUUUAUUAUGACUUCACCUUUUAAUGAAGUACAUGAAGCAGUUGGAUAUAACAAGGAGCCAUUCAAUGAGCAUGUGAAUAACCCAAGAUAUGAGGAGCAAUAGAAACACAAACGUCACUUCGAUGCCUUCUCCUGUACAUUUCUUAGUUUCCCUUGUUCUGCUGCUGUUUCGCUUUCUGCACAAUUGCCAGGCUUUCAUAAAGCAGCUUAAGGAAGGAGUUAGCUUUCCUCAGUCAACUUGCCAGCUCUUUCCCAUCAGUCCAGCCCCCUGGAAGGGCCUGGAGACACCCCUAUUUAGAGUCCUGGUGCUGGGGUUGCUGAGGUACAACUGGUUUGUUUAAGUCUGGGGCUCCCUCUGGAGAGACUCCCUGGCUCUUGAUUCCAGGCCUGGAUUCAGUCCUCGCAUCUCCUGGCCGCGUGAACCGAGCAGCACCACCAAAAGAAACCUUUGGGGAUCGGUUUACGGGUUCAUCCGCUAGGUUUAUAAUAAGAAACGAAAGCGAGAGGCAAACACGAGCACGAGCGGGAGGGUAAAAGAGAAAUAGGAGAGAGUGACUUCAGCGCGUCUGGCAGUGACCGCCUGUUCUAUAGCAAGAGAAUAUUCUGGGAAGGGAACAACUUUGGAACGCGAACAAAGGUGGCAAAAAAAAAGCUGAGCGUCCGUAACUCCAGUCUCCACAGAAUCUGAACUAUUGGCUUCUUCUGUGUAGAUGCUUUCACGCACCCAUCACAGCACAUCAGACUCCCAGAGUUGAUCGCAGGAAAUGUGAGGAGCAUAAAAGUGCUAUCUGAUUUGCUGCUGGCCCCAGAUGUUUAACGGAUGACAAGUGUGUGAAAUACUAGUGAGCAUUGUCUGGGCUUUGAGAGGCAAUUGAGUGAAACCUCAUCUAGACAAAUUCGUCCAUAGAAAUUAAUCCAACUAAAUUGUGAUAAAAGUAAUGCCAAAACCAUCAUGAAACCUAGAAAAGUACUGAGACAGUGCAUUCCGUCUGCCAAGGAUUUCAUUUGCCGUCUUAAUAAAAACACAGAAUACAGUCCAAUCUGUUUAACAACUUCCAUGAUUCACUAGGUUCCUGUGCUUGUAACAAUUAUUGUGACCAGCUCUGACCAAAAUGUGCCGCUGAAUGAACAAUGACAGGUUUUGUCACGACGGUCACAUGCCAGUAACUAAUCGAAUCCUGUCUAAAUUUGCCCAUUUCUGACCAAUCCCAAGUGCAAAUGCAUUCACAACCCUUGCUGACAAACAAAUGAACCAACACUGAAACCCAAUUGCCUUCUUUGUGGAGGGGAUAAAUGUCACAGCUAGCACCGUCCAAAAAUCAGAGAUGUACUUUCACGCUUUCCCAAAAUAUCAGCGGACAGUUUUGAUCACAGUAUGAACUAGUACACAGGGUUCUACCCCAAAGAAAUCUGGUCAUACAUGUGGAAUUAUCUGUCCUGCCAGACUAAAUUUACACUUUCCCACGUUGAACGCAACUGCUGAAAUUCGAGCUGCACCCUGGCAGCCCGCCACAAAAUGAUCCCAUUCCUUACUGAGAUACCGAAAGAAAACGAGUCUGAUCUUGAACCCUAAAAUUUGUUUCCAUGUUCAUCCUGUUUGCACAAAAGGUUGAAUACAUUUGUUUAUCCCUAGACAUUGGAGGAAGCAGAAGUGAGAGCGAACACGGUUUCGUCAUUAGUUGACUCGUAGCUGGCCCAAGUCAACUGAACACCAAGACAAGUCUGUCUAGACAAUACAAGGUUGUCGUUUCUGAAGAACCACAACGCUGCUCAUCUCGUGCAUCAUGCUAUUUGUUUUGUAACGUACAUCCUCUUUUUGUUGUCAUGAGUACUCAUUGGCACCACUUCGCUCUCACAUCCUCACUCAUCUCACUGCCAAACAAGUCUCUCGUACCUCACUAAUAUUGUGUUUGUUUGCACCCCAUGAUGAGCAACAAUUUCAGCUUAUGAAGUGAGGCAGUGGAAGAGAUGAUAGAACUGAAUGUGGCCCUUUAUUUAUCAUUAUAAAAUGCAGUCAUCCAUCUGUCCAGAAGAUGGGAUCAAAAAUCUCGCCCAGAAGGAAAAACUGUCCAACUCUGGAACAGUCUUAGUUCCUGGGUUCUCACAGUGAAGAAAUCCCUGUACGGUAGCUUUAGUAAGUCCUUAUAAAUAAUAUUCAACUGCCUUUGUUUUUUAAACUUUCUUCAUGUAAAAAUUGACUGUUUGGAGAAGAAUAUUGAGGUAAGCCCUGACAGUACGGAACAUACUGUACGUACACACUUCUAUAGAGAAAGAGAAUGCAUCCACACCCAGAUCUCACAUUCUACACACCCACCCACACACAUGCCUACACAUACUGAAGCAGCAUUGAACCCAUGCGCGUGACCAUCGAACCAAUAUCAACAGCAUGUGAAUCGUGUUGACACAAACAGCAGCGUACACGUGUGGUGGUGGGCACUUUCUAGAUUAAUGCACAGUAAUGAUUCCCUUUGCAUCCCUCCGUGUUUAUGCGUUGUGUGCGUGAAUGUGGAUGUGGUCAGGCUCAGUCAUCUUCCAGGCAGCUAAGAGGAAACCCACAUCAACUGCCAUACACCACACUCUAGGAAUAGAUUUGCCCAGUGAGGGCAGGAAAGGAAUGGCACGGCUGGCCUCGCCCCUCCUCACCCUGCCUCACCCAUUUCAAACGACCCUGUUUAAGUUCCAUCUGCGCUGUCGUCUUGUGUCACUUUUUUCAGUCGACGUUUCCCCAUUUCCUCGUAGCUUGAGGCUUAGUUCCCCAUUCGUGAUUCCUGGCAGCUCCACCUUCACCAUUAAAAAAACAAAACUGUUAUUCUCCUACUAAAUUCAGGACAUUAAACCACACUGCAUUGUUGUGGAUAGAACAAGUCUUGGAAGCGCAUUUAACCUUCAGACAACAAGUGGAUGUUCACCAAUGUCCAAAUGCAGUGACUCUCCAUUAAAAAAAAAAAAAAAAAAAAAAGUUGAUUCAAAUGAAGACAUUCAAACGUAAAAGGCCAUGUAAAAUAUGCUGAUUCUGUCAGCUACUGAAUCCAUGUCUCCUUCCCAGAGCGUCGCUGCCAACAAGCCCAGAACUUGUUAGCGCCACGCUUUUAUCCCUUAUGAGUGAGUAAUUAUCCAUAGCGGUUUGGUGCGUCACUAUCAACACCAUGCGAACGUUGGUCGUCUUUCUUCAACUGCAGUCAUAAAAGCGUGUCUCAUCUUGUUCACGAACCCACAUCAUAGACAAAAUAUCAAGGUGAUGGCUUCAUUACUGAAGCAAUACCUGGGUGCACCUCGGGAGACCGGGAUUCUCUUGGCAUUUUUCAACUCGUACUAGCAAGCCAGUGUGGCAUAUCAAGUCAAGUUUACACUGACAUGGAUGGACUCAAUAGUAGAUUGGAACUGGUCGACUGGAUGCCCAAUUUAAGGGACAAGACCAGACAUUAAGGCAUUAAAACGUUAGCCCCCCAAAAAAAGCACCACCAGUGACUCAGAUUCCAAUGGAAAGAAUCUGAUUAGUUUAUGUACACAGAUCUGUCCCGACUGGUGGUGGAGGCUGCAUCACUAAAGCAUGGAAAAAGAGGGAGAUAAGAGCUGAAGACCUUAUCGUCUUAUCUUUAGACUUGUAAGCGGAGUGAAAAAUCACGACUUGACUUUCAGGUCAUGUCAGACUUGCUCCAGAAUUGAGCUCAUUUGAGUCUGUUUUCGAUUGAGUUGGUCAUCCACAGGUGCAGAGUGUCUGUAAAUCUCUCUUCUUUUCUUCUCUUGUUUCAGGUUUUUGCUGAGAGACCUCUGCAAGAGUCGACGGCUACUUUCAUCCAAGGUAACAAUAGGACAUUCACAAAGCGAAUAUUACUAUUCGUUUCCUUCAGCCUGGUUUUGUCGGUCACAAAUUUCGAGUCGGUGAUUCGCCUUUUCACCGUGUUGCUGAGCUGGUGCCUUAUAGAAGAUGAUACAUGGGUUAUCUGAGCUGAAGUAGAGAAAGAAGGACUUUCUUCUCACCAGAUCAAAGCACAGAUCACAACAAGAUCAAUGCCAAACCUGUUGCUUCUGUGGCUGUUAGAGGGUCAGUGUGAUGACUAAUGAGACCAGGCAGGAGGUCACCAGGGCUGUGUCCCGUGGCGCCCGUGGACCGACCCCACGCUCAGUAGCAACUGCAGCCACGGCAAGGAUUUCCAGUGGCUUGUCUCAGAUCUGUCUCAGUAGCGGUCAGUUAGCACUGACUCAUUUGUUUUCAUUUCAAGUUUGCUCGAGUCACAAACGUUUCAUCGCUGCCAACCCUUUCACUUCCAUCCAAACAUCUGUCACAGACGGAUUUCACUUUGAAAACGGUGUUCAGUCAAACACGAGGCAGGGUCAAUACUACGCUGCGCCGUGUACGCUCCAGUAUAACUGGAGUCUUGCUGAAUGCAACUAACAUCACACGCUUGCCUGUUCAAGCCUCUAUUGGAGCACCAAGUUUGUAGGACUCCUUUUGGUUCAUGAAUCAGAGCUCAGAAAGCUGAGAUGCCUGCUCAUGGCUGACAUGGGAAUCAGUUAGUGAAUCGACCGAUGCUUUCGGAUCACAUGCCGCACGUUGCUUCCAGGAUUAGCCGAGGGAUACAGGGACUUCCUGUGCGGUCUGUGGUGACGCAGCACUCGACAAACCAGACUCAGAUGACUGGCUCUUUUUUGACACUUUUCAACUUCAACUCAUUUUCUACUAUUUGUCUCAUGACUCCUCGAAUGCUGAUCGCUUUAUAUUUAGCCCAACUUAGCGAUCAGUCCAAUAUGAAAUGUCCAGAUCAUUUCAGACGCUCAUUUAGCUCAGUUUAUAGGAGCUCACAAGCCAUUAUUCUAAAGAGAGAGGGGCUGGGUCAGCAGUCAUCUCAGCUUCAACUGUUGCUUCAUGUCGAUCAAAAUGCCAAGGCUUGUUCAGCCGCUACAUAUAAAUGGGAUUUCAGAAGAAAUACAUGCAGUCACUGUCUUGUUUAGAGUUCACCAAGUUCAGAUCUGCUUCAUCCUCAACUAUAAUGUCUUCAGGUUAUGUUGAGUUUCUCCUCCCACCACUGUCAACGCUUCACCUCCACCAAGUUAUAACACUUUUAUUACGUGGAUAAACAACAAUGGCGACCGAAAAUGAAGACUCAAACCAAAUGUUUUCAGUUUAAUUUUAGGCUCUCUGUUAUUUAGAUUGGGAGGUGGAGCUGUGUGAAUGAGGCUUGUGACAGAGCUGCAUCACUAGUGAACUAGUGCACUCAUGUAACCAUCCAUCCUGGGGCGUCACUGGCAGGUGGAACCGAUUCAAGCCUCCCGUGAGAAGCCUCAGACCCAGGUGGAGCGACCGAUCCCUCACUCUGUAAUUCAGACUGUGGCGUCGUCAUCAUUGCGAGCGUGAUAAACCAGUUGACCGCGUCGAUGGCGAGGGAACGAGUGGACCAGAAACAAGCGUGCGGUGGCACAUUUCCCAUAACAACAUGAAAUUGGAGUCAAGUGACCAUGAGCUGGCUGUUUGAUCUGCGGGGUCAUGUGGCCUUAGGUAUGCGGCGGCAGGAAUGUGACCAUGGAGGAAGAGGAUCAGGCACGCUCCCCUCUCCUCACCUACAUGUGUCUGCCUGAGACUAGGUCAGUGCUCCCAUUAUGUGUCGGGCUAAGUGUUGGAGCCGACAUGGCUGAUGCGCCUCAGGGCUAAUGGGAAAGAAUGACAGGAAUCUUCCACUGAUAAUGCCAUGCUUGGAGAUGUUCGUCAGCAGAUAAUCUCCCAUAUCCUUCCCCUCCCUCGGGCCGUGCUUUUUUCUCUCCUUCUGGUUCAUUGUCACUUAUUUCUCCUCUCUCGCUCUCCGCAGGAAGACGCACGAAGCCCUGGCACCUUCAUGACCGGGCGGAUCCGCCGUGGCUUCUGUCAGUUGCUCAGUAGGCAGUGUAGAUCCUGUGUAGCAAUCAGCAGCUACAUCUGGCUACUGGGUCUCUGGCGGCUCGGCCAACAGUUCCUCAGCCCCAUUGGCUCCCGUGAAAGGGGGGCUCCAUCCUAUGACCCCACAGACAGGAUGUUCUCUGUGUCACAACUCCACAAGGGGCCCUUGUCAAGGCUUUGUGUUUUUUUUUUCUUUCCACAACCCUUCCUCUUCCACAACCACGGCCAUUUCCGUUCCGCACAUCCUUGUCAUCUCUGUGUUCUCUAUUUUAAAGCUCAUUUUUCAAUACCGAUUCGACAGAAACAUAAACUCCACGUGUAAGUAUUUACCGAACAUAUCGGUAGUUUCAGAGCCUUUGCUUUGUCCUGAACCUGGCAUACAAUGUAGAUUUCUGUGUGGUAAAGUUCUACAGCUACAUUGUCUGCUGGGUUUCUGGCUAGCAAUAUAAUCACCUGCUGUCCCGGAAAAGAAAUGCCCCGGUGCCGGAACAGGUAAGUAAAUGACCCAUUACACCCGUGUCACCAUGACAUUUCAAUAAAAUAUUUCACACAAACAA